ensembl:lncRNA
GGGGAAUUCCUGGGAUUUGGGGCUGGAUCUGGGAUCGAUUCCCAGGAUUUGGGGCUGGAUUUGGGGCAGGAUCCGGGAACAAUUCCAGGAAUUCAGGGCAGGAUCCGGGGCCGUUUCCCGGGAAUUCAGGGCAGGAUCUGGGGACAUUUCCCAGGAUUUGGGGGCAAUUCCAGGGAUUCAGGGCAGGAUCCGGGGCCGUUUCCCGGGAAUUCAGGGCAGGAUCUGGGGACAUUUCCUGGGAAUUCAGGGCAGGAUCUGGGGACGAUUCCCAGGAUUUGGGGCAGGAUCUGGGGACAUUUCCUGGGAUUUGGGGCAGGAUCCGGGGCCGUUUCCCGGGAAUUCAGGGCAGGAUCUGGGGACGAUUCCCAGGAUUUGGGGCUGGAUUUAGGGACAUUUCCCAGGAUUUGGGGCUGGAUUUGGGGCAGGAUCCGGGGCCGUUUCCCGGGAAUUCAGAGCAGGAUCUGGGGACAUUUCCCAGGAUUUGGGGCUGGAUUUGGGGCAGGAUCCAGGGCCAUUUCCCGGGAAUUCAGGGCAGGAUCCGGGGCCGUUUCCCGGGAAUUCAGGGCAGGAUCCGGGGCCGUUUCCGGGGAAUUCAGGGCAGGAUCCAGGGCCGUUUCCCGGGAAUUCAGAGCGUUCCGCGCUCGACGCGGGCGCGGCCGAGCUUCAUCCCGCGGAUGAUGAGGACGGUGCCGGCGGCGAUGCCGACGAUGCCGACGGCCAAGCCCAGGGCGCAGAUCGCCGUCUCCGUGGCCUCGGACGCCGGCGCCGGGAUCUGGGGCUCUGGGAAAAGCGGGAAUUCCCGGGAGAUCCCAAAACCUUCCUCAUCCUCGUCUUCGUCCCGAAAACCCCUGAGUUCUUCCUCAUCCCGAAUUCUUCCUCUUCUUCCUCAUCCCAAAUCCUUCCUCAUCCCGAAUUCUUUCUCUUCCCAAAUUCUCAUCCCGAAUUCUUCCUCUUCUUCCUCAUCCCAAAUUCUUCCUCUUCCCAAAUUCUUCCUCUUCCUCUUCUUCCUCAUCCCAAAUCCUUCCUUAUCCCGAAUUAUUUCUCAUCCCAAAUUCUUCCUCAUCCCGAAUUCUUCCUCUUCCUCCUCAUCCCAAAUCCUUCUUCAUCCCAAAUUCUUCCUCUUCCUCUUCUUCCUCAUCCCAAAUCCUUCCUCAUCCUGAAUUCCUUCUUCAUCCCAAAUCCUUCAUCCCAAAUUCUUCCUCUUCCUCCUCAUCCCAAAUCCUUCCUCAUCCCAAAUUCUUCCUCAUCCCAAAUUCUCAUCCCGAAUUCUUCCUCUUCCUCCUCAUCCCAAAUCCUUCCUCAUCCCAAAUUCUUCCUCAUCCCAAAUUCUUCCUCUUCCUCCUCAUCCCAAAUCCUUCCUCAUCCCAAAUUCUUCCUCAUCCCAAAUUCUCAUCCCGAAUUC